CUGAGUACUACACUCUCUACCCUUUGUGAACUAUUAUACCUGUUGCUUCGGCGGCGCCCGCGAGGGUGCCCGCCGGUCUCAUCAGAAUCUCUGUUUUCGAACCCGACGAUACUUCUGAGUGUUCUUAGCGAACUGUUA
rnacentral:misc_RNA from 1 species